rnacentral:sRNA from 1 species
UGAUUAAGAUGGUGCUUUGUUUUGUUUCUUUUGUUUUCAGGAGCAAGAAUGUUGAAUGUGAUAUUAAGGUUGUUACAGGUGGUAUGAAAUGUUCAUCUUUUAUUUUUUAUUUCAUUUUAAUUUUUUUUUUUUUUUUUUUUUUUUGCUCAAUGGUUGGUCUAUGCUGUGCAUGGUUUUAAUCGAAGUUUAUUUUUUUUCAAAAUGGAGUUCAGGUGAGAUUAUUUAAUCACCAUGACAACAGCUAGAUUCUUACACAGAUUCUUUUAUACUGGUAAUCAUUUUGUACCAAACGUAUGAAGUGUCGGAAUUUCUUUGUUGCGCAUUAUAGUUAUUACCUUGAAGUUACACUGUCCAAAAAGAUGUAUCUUGAGUUUUUACUCAACAACCAAAAAAUGUUUCAAUGUUCAAGAAUUUUUACAAACAUACAGCUGUAUUAAGUUCGCCGUACAUUUAUUUAUCAUUAAGGUAAAGCCAAUGUGAUUUCUGUACAGUAUGUUCAUGUAUCGGAAUUGUGAUUUUUCUUUGUUUUUUGGUUGAUUUUUUUUCUUCACUUAUUGUAUUUUAUGGUGAAAUUCUGAAAUUUCUGUGAUAAAGAAAGAAAUAUGAGAUUUUCUUAGUUGUUAUUAUCAUAAUAUGUGUCCCCUAUUCAAAAGGCAUUUUAGCUUGGUCAGUAGUUUGAUACGUACCAUCAACACUUGGACCUACAUGUAUUUUUUUCUUUGUGUUGGUUAAAAUUCAUUAUUAAUCUAAUGGGCAUUUGCGCCAUCUUGAUUGUUAAUGUUCUUUAAAAAUUACAUGUGGUUAAAAGACCUUCCUAUAGGAAUGAAGCUAUGCGAUUUGACUGCUCUUUUGUUUAUUUUAAAUAACUGAUAUGAAAUAUAUAUACAUUGAACAUGUAUUGACUAAAUGAUCCAGUUACAGGUUGUAUUUGAUUAACAUUAGUGUCCCUUUAAAGUUUGCAAGCUUAUCAACAACCAGGUAAUGAUACAGUUAAACUAGUAAUAAUAGAUGUUUAUUGAGUCAGUCAUUACAAUUCAUCUGUAUAAUAAAAAUAAAAACAUUAACAU